AGUGAACGCUGGCGGUAGGCCUAACACAUGCAAGUCGAACGGCAGCACAGUAAGAGCUUGCUCUUACGGGUGGCGAGUGGCGGACGGGUGAGGAAUACAUCGGAAUCUACUUUUUCGUGGGGGAUAACGUAGGGAAACUUACGCUAAUACCGCAUACGACCUACGGGUGAAAGCAGGGGAUCUUCGGGCCUUGCGCGAUUGAAUGAGCCGAUGUCGGAUUAGCUAGUUGGCGGGGUAAAGGCCCACCAAGGCGACGAUCCGUAGCUGGUCUGAGAGGAUGAUCAGCCACACUGGAACUGAGACACGGUCCAGACUCCUACGGGAGGCAGCAGUGGGGAAUAUUGGACAAUGGGCGCGAGCCUGAUCCAGCCAUACCGCGUGGGUGAAGAAGGCCUUCGGGUUGUAAAGCCCUUUUGUUGGGAAAGAAAAGCAGCAGGUUAAUACCCCGCUGUUCUGACGGUACCCAAAGAAUAAGCACCGGCUAACUUCGUG
rnacentral:rRNA from 1 species